AUGAACGCUGGCGGCGUGCCUAAUACAUGCAAGUCGAGCGGUAAGGCCCCUUCGGGGGUACACGAGCGGCGGACGGCUGAGUAACACGUAGGAACGUACCCCAAACUGAGGGAUAAGCACCAGAAAUGGUGUCUAAUACCGCAUGUGCUCUAAGGAGUAAAGCUUCGGCGGUUUGGGAACGGCCUGCGUCCGAUUAGCUUGUUGGUGAGGUAAUAGCUCACCAAGGCGACGAUCGGUAGCUGGUCUGAGAGGAUGAUCAGCCAGACUGGGACUGAGAACGGCCCAGACUCCUACGGGAGGCAGCAGUAGGGAAUUUUCCACAAUGGACGAAAGUCUGAUGGAGCAACGCCGCGUGCAGGAUGAAUGCCUUCGGGUUGUAAACUGCUUUUAUCUGUGACGAAUAUGACGGUAGCAGAUGAAUAAGGAUCGGCUAACUCCGU
rnacentral:rRNA from 1 species